AAAAACAUUUAGAAAUAAUAUAACUUUCCAAAUGAACCUUGAGCAACCCUAGAGUGACCCCACUUUCCUUGUGAAGUCUAAAUUGUAAAACCUUAAAUGUGUACACAAUCACCAUCAAAGUCAACCCCGAGUUUUAUACCACAACACACCUUACUUCAUGAAAAUAAUGAAAAUCUAGAACCUUGUUUAGGUGAAUGUGGUCGAAAUGCAAUUUACAUUUCAACAACAGUUCAUGUCUUGCAUACUGCAUUUGAAAGCAUGGAAAAUUGAACUACCUGCAUAUGCAUAUCGUGUAGAAGUUAAUAUUGCUGACAGAACCUAUGAGCU
rnacentral:lncRNA from 1 species